AGAAAACCCAGACGGUCUUUCAAAAGACAUUUCAAAUACCUAAAAAUUAUAAUCUGGAAAAAUCCCACUCUAAAUCCCCACCAUUCCUUUAAAAUUCAAACUUUAAACGGGCAUCCUUCGCUGGUCGCGGAACUUGUCACGUUGGCAACCUUCCUGGCAACAAACAACGGGGACCUUCAAUGUGCGGAAGGCUUUUAGCGUGAUAAAUUCGCUUAAAUUCAGUGAAAAGUGUCAAAAAACAAGUGUUUUAGUGUGUGAUUGUGGCUUUUUCACGGCGAUAGCAGUUCAGGCACACUUGGAAACCCGUAUGUACUUUUCUGUAAGCUGAUGGUCCACUUAUCAUUGUCUUCACUGAAAGUACAGUCGGGAAGAGUUACUUGAUGUUGCGAUGUCCGAAGCAAACUAAGAUACUGCAACCUCAAAGUCAACAGCGCUGAAAGGUAGCCAACCUCACUGAUGAAGCAAUUUAAAUAUCAGUAGCAAAGCGGGAAAAGUUCGGUUAGUAUCCAUGUAGGUACAUCUAGCCGCAACCUCAGAGCUCAAAUUCUACUUUUCAAAGUAAACGUUUGGUUUUGAGUACGGAGACCUACGAACUUGCCUUUAUCAAGACUCGAAUAUCGUUAUUCAUGUCCAACAAUCUUCUAAGGUCCGUAUACCAUACAUGGCAAAACUUUAAUCAACUAGUUUUGUCGUUC
rnacentral:lncRNA from 1 species